rnacentral:rRNA from 1 species
CAGCAGUGAGGAAGGUGGGUAUGUUAAUAGCAUACUCUAUUUGACGUUAGCUGCAGAAGAAGCACCGGCUAACUCCGUGCCAGCAGCCGACGGUAAGUACGGAGGGUGACGAGACGUUAAGUACGGAAUUACGUGGGACGUAAAGCGCAUGCAGGUUGGUUUAGUUAAGUCAGAUGGUAGAAACGGCCCCGGGGCUACCAACCGUACGGUAAUUGCUAGUUUAGAAACGUGGACAAACUAGAGUACUGUAGGAGGGGGUAGAAUUUCAGGUGUAGCGGUAGAAAUGCGUAGAGAUCUGAAGGAAUACCGGUGGCGAAGGCCGGCCCCCUGGACAGAUACUGACACUCAGAUGACGAAAGCGUGGGGAGCAAACAGGAUUAGAUACCCUGGUAG